GACGAACCGUGCGAACGUUGUUCGGAAUCACUGGGCUUAAAGGGCGCGUAGGCGGACGACCAAGUCGGGGGUGAAAUCUUUCGGCUCAACCGGAAAAUAGCCUUCGAUACUGGCUGUCUGGAGGGAGGUAGGGGCGUGUGGAACUUCCGGUGGAGCGGUGAAAUGCGUUGAUAUCGGAAGGAACUCCGGUGGCGAAAGCGACACGCUGGAUCUCAUCUGACGCUGAGGCGCGAAAGCCAGGGGAGCGAACGGG
rnacentral:rRNA from 1 species